rnacentral:tRNA from 1 species
CAUUAAGUAAAGGCGAUUAAAAAAUGUCUUAAAGCUAUAGAAACUAGUACCGCAAGGGAAAAGU